GGGGGAAGCGCCGCGAAGUAGAUUUUAAAUAAGGUCAAACAUUAUAAAUAAUAAAUAUUGGUUUAUUAUUUGUAUAUCUUUUUCUCCGUAGGAGUAGGAUUUAUUUAAAUUAAUAAAUUAAACGAUUCCUACUCCCCUCACAGUCACAGCUGUGAGUGUGAGGACUCCUUCCUUUUGCUCUACGGAGUGAGGAGGAUUACUUUUGUUUUAAAAGUCAAAACAAAAGGCAAAAGCAAUCCUACUCCUACGGAGGGAGCCUCCUACCUUUUGCUCGCAGAUUUUGCUUGCAAAAGCAAGAGGGACAGGGAGAAAGAGUCGGAGAAAAUUGAUUUGAUUAUUCAUUUAUUUGAGUAAUUAGUGUAGUUAUUCUUUAAUAUAUAAUUUUAUUAUAUUUUUUACUAGGUAUUUAACUGCUUUUUUUAAGUCUAAUUAGUUUCGACUAACCCAUCUGAGUAACAUCUCAAAAGUCAUAGCAAGGUAG
rnacentral:rRNA from 1 species